rnacentral:rRNA from 1 species
GACGAACGCUGGCGGCGUGCUUAACACAUGCAAGUCGAACGGAAAGGCCCCUUUGGGGGUACUCGAGUGGCGAACGGGUGAGUAACACGUGAGUAACCUGCCCUUGACUUCGGGAUAACUUCAGGAAAAUGGGGCUAAUACCGGAUAGGAAUCAUUGCUGCAUGGUGGGGGUUGGAAAGCUUCGGCGGUUUUGGAUGGACUCGCGGCUUAUCAGCUUGUUGGUGGGGUAGUGGCUUACCAAGGCUUUGACGGGUAGCCGGCCUGAGAGGGCGACCGGCCACAUUGGGACUGAGAUACGGCCCAGACUCCUACUGGAGGCAGCAGUGGGGAAUAUUGCACCAUGGGCGGAAGCCUGAUGCAGCAACGCCGCGUGCGGGAUGACGGCCUUCGGGUUGUAAACCGCUUUCAGCAGGGGCGAAGCUUGUGGUGACGGUACCUGCAGAAGAAGCACCGGCUAACUACGUG